rnacentral:misc_RNA from 1 species
AAAUAGUGUCUCUUGAAGUGUGAUCCAUUGCACUUAGUGCAACUUAUUUUCAUGAAUGAGAAUUAUUCUUCAGUAUCAAAAGCAAAACAAUAAAAAGCAGGAAUAAUUUAGUUGCGUUGAUACAGGGAAGGAAUAAAAUCUUGAUUGCCUUCUCUAAAUGCUUUAUAAUGAUUUCUUUUCAACCAAAUUUCUUUUAUGGUAAUGCAGAUUUCUAAGUUACUUUAUCAAGUCCAUUCAGACAUGAUGCUUCACUGAUCCCUUCUUGGACAUCUCCACUGAGCUAUCAUCUUCACGAACUUUGUAUUUGUACCACUUAGCACAUAGCAGAAAAUAUGCUAAGUUCAAUACCCCCAAAACACCAAUUACAUAAUAGAAA